AGCAGCCGCGGUAAUUCCAGCUCCAAUAGCGUAUAUUAAAGUUGUUGCAGUUAAGAAGCUCGUAGUUGAAUUUCGGGAUCAGCAGGUUGGUCGUGCCUACGGUAUGAACUGGCCUUGCUGAUUCCUCCCUCUUGAUGAGCCGUAAUGCCAUUAAUUUGGUGUUGCGGGGAAUCAGGACUGUUACUUUGAAAAAUUAGAGUGUUUAAAGCAGGCAAGCGCUUGAAUACAUUAGCAUGGAAUAAUGAAAUAGGACGUUUGAUCCUAUUUUGUUGGUUUCUAGGAUUGACGUAAUGAUUAAUAGGGAUAGUUGGGGGCGUUAGUAUU
rnacentral:sRNA from 1 species